UAGGGAAUCUUCGGCAAUGGGGGCAACCCUGACCGAGCAACGCCGCGUGAGUGAAGAAGGUUUUCGGAUCGUAAAGCUCUGUUGUAAGAGAAGAACGUGUGUGAGAGUGGAAAGUUCACACAGUGACGGUAACUUACCAGAAAGGGACGGCUAACUACGUGCCAGCAGCCGCGGUAAUACGUAGGUCCCGAGCGUUGUCCGGAUUUAUUGGGCGUAAAGCGAGCGCAGGCGGUUUAAUAAGUCUGAAGUUAAAGGCAGUGGCUUAACCAUUGUUCGCUUUGGAAACUGUAAAACUUGAGUGCAGAAGGGGAGAGUGGAAUUCCAUGUGUAGCGGUGAAAUGCGUAGAUAUAUGGAGGAACACCGGUGGCGAAAGCGGCUCUCUGGUCUGUAACUGACGCUGAGGCUCGAAAGCGUGGGGAGCAAACAGG
rnacentral:rRNA from 1 species